UCCUCGCGACAAACACAAACCCCGGCGCUUCGUGCGCCAAGGAACUCAAAUCUGUUAAGUGCGACUCCCGGGGGCCCGGAGACGGUGUCCCGCGGGAGUCGUCACGACACAACAUUUACAUACAAUGACUCUCGGCAACGGAUAUCUCGGCUCUUGCAUCGAUGAAGAACGUAGCGAAAUGCGAUACUUGGUGUGAAUUGCAGAAUCCCGUGAACCAUCGAGUCUUUGAACGCAAGUUGCGCCCGAAGCCAUUAGGCCGAGGGCACGCCUGCCUGGGUGUCACACAUCGUUUCCCCAACGCAAACAUGUAACAAUGUUGCUGCGCGGGGUGUAUGCUGACCUCCCGCGAGCACCCGCCUCGUGGUUGGUUGAAAUCUGGGUUCAUGGCCGACUUCGCCGUGAUAAAAUGGUGGAUGAGCCACGCUCGAGACCAAUCACGUGCGAGCCGGUCAGUUCUGGACCCAUCGACGACCCUUUGCGUGCACGCACGCUCCCAACGAGACCUCAGGUCAGGCGGGGCUACCCGCUGAG
rnacentral:rRNA from 1 species